CUCAAAAUUAUUUUGAACAAUGGUUUUUACUAAAAUUAAUGUGUAAGUGAUCUACUUCCAUAGGGAAUGAGCAUUGUCUUAUAGAUGAAGAAAACAAAAAAUACUUCAAACUUAAGCCACAAAAGCUUAAGAGGUAAAACAGACCAAAACAAAAUAAAUCAACUGAGAGUAGUAAAUUCUAUUAUUCCAUAGGUACCUUCUAUAAGUGGUCUGCACCUGAACUUCCUUCAGUCACACAUUUGGCAAGGAAAGAGAAACAUUUUGGUAGUGUGGCUGGCAGGGGCAUUAAGGAAAAGAUGUGUUACAAUUGAAUUUUCUAUGCAUUUUUUUCCUUUCAAAACUCUUUCAGAGGCUAGGAAUGUGUUUCCCAUCCUUAGAUAUAACUGGAGGGGAAAAAAGAUCUUAAGUUAUUUUCAAUAAUCAUAUUGGAGAUAGUGGUGGUGGUAUUAUUCUAAGACUGUUGUGCUUAACCUAUUAAGAAUUGAUUUUAAAUUCUAUCUGAAAAGU